GGGGAAUAUUGCACAAUGGGCGAAAGCCUGAUGCAGCAACGCCGCGUGAGUGAUGAAGGUCUUCGGAUUGUAAAGCUCUGUCUUUUGGGACGAUAAUGACGGUACCAAAGGAGGAAGCCACGGCUAACUACGUGCCAGCAGCCGCGGUAAUACGUAGGUGGCGAGCGUUGUCCGGAUUUACUGGGCGUAAAGGGUGCGUAGGCGGAUGUUUAAGUGAGAUGUGAAAUACCCGGGCUUAACUUGGGUGCUGCAUUUCAAACUGGAUAUCUAGAGUGCAGGAGAGGAGAAUGGAAUUCCUAGUGUAGCGGUGAAAUGCGUAGAGAUUAGGAAGAACACCAGUGGCGAAGGCGAUUCUCUGGACUGUAACUGACGCUGAGGCACGAAAGCGUGGGUAGCAAACAGGAUUAGAUACCCUGGUAGUCCACGCCGUAAACGAUGAGUACUAGGUGUAGGAGGUAUCGACCCCUUCUGUGCCGCAGUAAACACAUUAAGUACUCCGCCUGGGAAGUACGAUCGCAAGAUUAAAACUCU
rnacentral:rRNA from 1 species